rnacentral:rRNA from 1 species
CACGUAGGGCGCAAGCGUUGUCCGGAAUUAUUGGGCGUAAAGAGCUCGUAGGCGGUCUGUUACGUCUGCUGUGAAAACCCAGGGCUUAACCCUGGGCUUGCAGUGGAUACGGGCAGACUAGAGGUAGGUAGGGGAGAUCGGAAUUCCUGGUGUAGCGGUGAAAUGCGCAGAUAUCAGGAGGAACACCGGUGGCGAAGGCGGAUCUCUGGGCCUUACCUGACGCUCAGGCGCGAAAGCUAGGGGAGCGAACAGG